rnacentral:rRNA from 1 species
CGUUGUACACACCGCCCGUCACACCAUGGGAGUGGGUUCUACCAGAAGUAGGUAGCUAACCGCAAGGAGCCGCUUACCACGGUAGGAUUCAUGACUGGGGUG